AGAACAUACACUGAUCCCCUCUG
rnacentral:piRNA from 1 species